rnacentral:rRNA from 1 species
AGGACGAACGCUGGCGGCGUGCUUAACACAUGCAAGUCGAGCGGAAAGGCCCUUCGGGGUACUCGAGCGGCGAACGGGUGAGUAACACGUGAGUAAUCUGCCCCUAGCUCUGGGAUAGCUCCGGGAAAACCGGGAUUAAUACCGGAUAUGACCACUUUAGACAUCUGCUGUGGUGGAAAGAAUUCCGGCUAGGGAUGGGCUCGCGGCCUAUCAGCUUGUUGGUGGGGUAACGCCUACCAAGGCGACGACGGGUA